rnacentral:tRNA from 1 species
GUUAUAGUGGCAGAGCCUGGACAUUGCAAAAGAUCUAAACUCUUUUAACAGGGGUUCAAAU